GUCAGCUUGAAAGCUCUCAUCACCAGAAAGAUAGCCUUCAGUGCUGGACGCUGGUGGGAAUUUGAUCACCCUGACCUCGCCUCCUGCCAUCGAUGACUUUAAGGGGCUGGAGCCUCAGCCACCUCCUACUCAGAAAUGAAUGCUCCAAGGAACACACUCGAGUAGAAGAUGCUCGGCGACUGGUAGUGGUGCAGCACCUCUUGGGAGGUGAAGUCCUGGCCUCCACAUGGCGGAUGGUACCUUCUGUCCUUGAUCCUACAAGGAUGACCUUUCUAGACAGUCUUCUUGGGCCUCCUGCCAUGGCUGAACUCCUGGGACAGUGGUUCUGGACUGGCAAACUACAGUUCUUGCCGCUGCCUCAGGGUGUAGAUGGCCCAGUGUCUGUGGGCUGGAAGGACACCAACCUAGGAAGCAGCCCUGAGCUGGCAUGAGGAGUCCAUCCCUGGUGGCAGGUUUGUCCGGACAUAGGAAUGGCAUGACACCACCACUCCUGGGGCUUUGGAGGAGUUGAUAGCUAUCCAUUGGAGACCCUCGAGUUUUCCAUGGACUCUUUUCCUCUGGGGAUCACCUACCAUAAAUUCCCGGGUGUGGCUGCCCUUACCACCUGACUAUAGAGGCAGCCAUCUGAUCCAGGCUUGGACCAGACUCCUCUGCAGGACUUUUUGAGUUUUCGGAGGACACAACAUCUUUAUUUUACUUUUAUGUGGUGCUGAGGAUUGAACCCAGCGCCCCGUGCAUGCCAGGCUAGCACGCUACUGCUUGAGCCACAUCCCCAGCCCCUCUGCAGGACUGCUGAAGGAACUCGGGGGGAAGCCAUUCUGUUCCUGGGGCAGUUGAUAAGUCCAUACAAUGGAGCCUGAAACUGCUGGUGACCAGCCCUUUAUCCACUCGACAACAAAGCCAACAGGAGAGAGAAUGAACAUGGAGAGAAUAUCGGUGCAAAUAGGCCAUGCCGGAACCCACUGGCUUCCCUGCGCUAUGGGGAUUGAGACAAGGCAUAUCUCUUUUGCUAAAAAUAGCCUGAGUACGGCUUCUGUCACAGAAGUGUGCCCAAUGCAGGCAGGGUUUUUUUUUUUUUUGAAACAACUUUGAGGUAUAUUUCACCCUGAAAUUCAUCCACUACCCAUGCCUGUGUAGCCGCCAUCAGAGGGCCACUGUUUCUUCCCCCAAAAUGUCCCAUCUCUCCACCCACUGCGCUUCCCUUUGCAGAACUUUAUGUAAUCCUAGUGCAUACUCUCCCGUCAGGCUGAGUCAGAAGACAGUCUUCCACGUUGAUGGUUGCACGCAGCAAUGAUCCAGUCCUUUCUCUUGCUGGGUCACCUGACAUUGCGUAGACGUAAGUGGUUCUUUAUCCACUUAGAUGAGGGAUAGUUGAGCCGUUUCCAGAUUUCGGCUGCUGUGAAUAAAGCUGUUUUGAACAUUUGUGCCAA